rnacentral:rRNA from 1 species
AUUGAACGCUGGCGGCAGGCCUAACACAUGCAAGUCGAACGAGUGGCGGACGGGUGAGUAAUGUCUGGGAAACUGCCUGAUGGAGGGGGAUAACUACUGGAAACGGUAGCUAAUACCGCAUACCAUCAGAUGUGCCCAGAUGGGCUUAUCUAGUUGGUGGGGGAACGGCUUACCAAGGCGACGAUCCCUAGCUGGUCGGAGAGGAUGACCAGCCAAACUGUAACUGGGACAGAGGCCAGACGCCUACGGGAGGCAGCAGUGGGGAAUAUUGGACAAUGGGCGCAAGCCUGAUGCAGCCAGGCCGCGUGUAUGAAGAAGGCCUUCGGGUUGUAAAGUACUUUCAGCGGGGAGGCGUUACCCGCAGAAGAAGCACCGGCUAACUCCGUGCCAGCAGCCGCGGUAAUUC